CUCCUCCCUUCCAGCACACAUACUAAAAUUGGAAUAACACAGAGAAGAUUAGCAUGGUCCCCACACAAGGAUGUCACACAAAUUCAUGAACUGUUCCAUAUUAAA